rnacentral:lncRNA from 7 species
AUCCCCCAUUUAAUCAAAAACCAUGCAUUUUCUCUUCGAGAAUCCCUGAUCUAACCCGAAAGUCAUGCAUUUUCUUUUCAGAAAUCCCCCAUUUAAUCAAAAACCAUGCAUUUCUCUUCGAGAAUCCCCCAUUUAACCUGAUAAAAACACAAUUUCUCUUCGGAAAUCUCCCCAUUUAGCCCCAAAAUAAUACAUUUCCCUUCAAAAAUACCCCAUUUCACCCAAAAUCACGCAUUUUCUCUUGGAAAAUCACCCUUUUAACUUGAAAAUCACUCAUUUUCUCUCAAAAAUCCCUCAUUUCACCCCCAAAUCAAACGCUUUCGCUACAAGAAUCCCCCAUUUAACCUGAAAAUCACGCAUUUCCUCACAAAAAGCUCACAUGUAAACCAAAAUCACACAUCUUCUC